GGGGAAUUGUUCGCAAUGGGCGCAAGCCUGACGACGCAACGCCGCGUGGAGGAUGAAGGUCUUCGGAUUGUAAACUCCUGUUGACCGGGACGAAUGGGCGCCGACGUAACAUUUCGGCGCAGUGACGGUACCGGUUGAGGAAGCCACGGCUAACUCUGUGCCAGCAGCCGCGGUAAUACAGAGGUGGCAAGCGUUGUUCGGAAUUACUGGGCGUAAAGGGCGCGUAGGCGGCCUUCUAAGUCAGACGUGAAAUCCCCAGGCUUAACUUGGGAACUGCGUCUGAUACUGGGAGGCUUGAGUGCGGGAGAGGGAUGUGGAAUUCCAGGUGUAGCGGUGAAAUGCGUAGAUAUCUGGAGGAACACCGGUGGCGAAGGCGGCAUCCUGGACCGACACUGACGCUGAGGCGCGAAAGCUAGGGGAGCAAAC
rnacentral:rRNA from 1 species